rnacentral:rRNA from 1 species
GGGGAAUUUUGGACAAUGUGCGCAAGCCUGAUCCAGCAAUGCCGCGUGCAGGAUGAAGGCCUUCGGGUUGUAAACCGCUUUUGUCAGGGAAGAAACGAGUUUCUCUAAUACAGAGACUUAAUGACGGUACCUGAAGAAUAAUCACCGGCUAACUACGUGCCAGCAGCCGCGGUAAUACGUAGGGUGCAAGCGUUAAUCGGAAUUACUGGGCGUAAAGCGUGCGCAGGCGGUUACGCAAGACAGUGGUGAAAUCCCCGGGCUCAACCUGGGAACUGCCUUUGUGACUGCAUAGCUAGAGUACGGUAGAGGGAGAUGGAAUUCCGCGUGUAGCAGUGAAAUGCGUAGAUAUGCGGAGGAACACCGGUGGCGAAGGCAAUCCCCUGGACCUGUACUGACGCUCAUGCACGAAAGCGUGGGGAGCAAACA